AGGAGCCGAAUGAAACCAAAGUUUCAUGUUCGGUUUUGAAUUAGAGAUGCUCAAAAUACUGAAUCAACGUCGACUAUAAC
rnacentral:ncRNA from 1 species